GGGCUCGCCUCGGCAGCACAGAUACUAAAACUGGGACGAUACAGAGAAGAUUAGCGUGGCCCCUGUGCAAUGACACACAAAUUCGUGAAGCGUUCCAUGUUUUU